GCUGGCGGCGCGCCUAAUGCAUGCAAGUCGAGCGACGCACACCGGAGGGGUAACCCAUCGGUAUGACGGAGCGGCGAACGGGUGAGUAACACGUGAGCAACCUGCCCCACAGACCGGGAUAGCCCAGGGAAACUUGGAUUAAUACCGGAUAUUCUCGAGGAACCACAUGGCUCUUUGAGGAAAUGCCUUUGUGCUGUGGGAUGGGCACGCGGCUUAUCAGCUAGUUGGUGGGGUAACGGCCUACCAAGGCAUCGACGAGUAGCUGGUCUGAGAGGACGAUCAGCCACACUGGGACUGAGACACGGCCCAGACUCCUACGGGAGGCAGCAGCAGGGAAUCUUGCGCAAUGGGCGAAAGCCUGACGCAGCGACGCCGCGUGGGGGAUGUAGGCCUUCGGGUUGUAAACCCCUUUCAGGAGGGACGAAAUUGACGGUACCUCCAAAAGAAGCCCCGGCCAACUACGUGCCAGCAGCCGCGGUAAUACGUAGGGGGCGAGCGUUGUCCGGAAUCAUUGGGCGUAAAGAGCUCGUAGGCGGUUCAGCAAGUCGUUUGUGAAAGUCCGAGGCUCAACCUCGGAAUUGCAGUCGAAACUGCUGUGACUCGAGUCCGGUAGAGGAGAAUGGAAUUCCCGGUGUAGCGGUGAAAUGCGCAGAUAUCGGGAGGAACACCAGUAGCGAAGGCGGUUCUCUGGGCCGGUACUGACGCUGAGGAGCGAAAGCG
rnacentral:rRNA from 1 species